AGUGAACGCUGGCGGUAGGCCUAACACAUGCAAGUCGAACGGCAGCACAGUAAGAGCUUGCUCUUACGGGUGGCGAGUGGCGGACGGGUGAGGCAUACAUCGGAAUCUACUUUUUCGUGGGGGAUAACGUAGGGAAACUUACGCUAAUACCUCAUACGACCUACGGGUGAAAUCAGCGGAUCUUCGCACCUUGCGCGUUUGAAUGAGCCGAUGUCGCAUUAGCUAGUUGGCGGGGUAAAGGCACACCAAGGCGACGAUCCGUAGCUGGUCUGAGAGGAUGAUCAGCCACACUGGAACUGAGACACGGUCCAGACUCCUACGGGAGGCAGCAGUGGGGAAUAUUGGACAAUGGGCGCAAGCCUGAUCCAGCCAUACCGCGUGAGUGAAGAAGGCCUUCGGGUUGUAAAGCCCUGUUGUUGGGAAAGAAAAGCAGCAGGUUAAUACCCCGCUGUUCUGACGGUACCCAAAGAAUAAGCACCGGCUAACUUCGUG
rnacentral:rRNA from 1 species